rfam:Mustela putorius furo unplaced genomic scaffold scaffold00157, whole genome shotgun sequence.
GUCUACGGCCAUACCACCCUGAAUGCGCCCGAUCUCGUCUGAUCUCGGAAGCUAAGCAGGGUCAGGCCUGGUUAGUACUUGGAUGGGAGAAUGAUGGAUUUGGAACUGAGAGACAAUAAAUUGGUAACUGUAACAU